AGAGAGAGAGAGAGAGAGAGGUGUGUAUGCUCUGAGCAAUAUUUGCACAGUACUAACUAAUUACUUUGAAAGUGCUAUCCUCUCAGUCUCAACCAUGCACCGUGAUGCGGCCCUACAGAAAACUUAAAAGCUUCGGCUGUUCAUUUUCUGUGCAUUGAAUGUUUAAAAUGUUGUUCUCUACUUUUUUCCUUUGAAAUUCUCAUUGGUAUGCUAUCUGCUUUCUCCUCCUUGCAGAUGGCAGCAUCGUCAGCUUGCA
rnacentral:misc_RNA from 1 species